CUACGAUGUAAUAAUAAAAACUAAUCAUUUUUUCUAUUCAUACUUUCCAAAAUUUUCGCAAAUAUUUUACCUUUGUUAAUUUGUAGGAAAUGGAAGAAGUAUUUGGCGAGCAGCCGUGGGUAAAACCUCUGUCUACUGCUGGAUCAAAUACUACCAACAAAAUGGAUCCUGACGUUAUCAGCCCACCACGAAAGCGUCAAAAAACUUUA